GUCAGUUCUGAGAAACUGUUAUAUACAAUACCAUUGUCUAUGCCACAUGAGGCAAGAGCAUUUGGACGUAAAAUGAAACACAGGAUUCAUCAUCCUGAUGCUUCCCAGUGUUUGGUGCCCCUGAGAAAUCCCUCCUGAGCGACUGGCUGGACCCUUUACAAAGCAUUUCUCCAGAGUUGACCCUGAAGACAUGCUCAUAAUUACUUAUGUGUGUCCCUGAGAAAUGUAGGUGAAAUUUAAGUUGAAUUGAACCUCACAUGUGCUAAGGAUGUUUGUUAUUUAAAGAACCUGUUGUCUAUUUAUUUUUAAAG
rnacentral:lncRNA from 1 species